UUUUUUUUCUUGCUGUUGUGCAGAUUCUCUGCUUGGAGCAGGGAGACCAUCCACUGGAAGAACAUACCCAGGACUUCAUGGAACUAGCAUGCCUAACUCACUAACCGGACCGCUCACUGUCUCGCUGCGUGGUUUAAGGCCUGUUGCGGCCCCUCCCUCGGCUCCACAAGAAACCAUUGUCCUGAUGGCUCCACCAGGCUCCUUCAUCCCACCAGCUCCUCCUUGGUCAGACAUAGUCCUGCCUGCACCUUGGCUCUGUCUGGCUCCACCUUCAUCCUCAGUCCCACUGGCUCCACCUCAGUCUUCAGGAUCCCUGAUUCCACCUCGGACGCUGGUCGCCAUGGCUCCACCUCCAUCUCCAGUGCCAGCAAUGUUGCGUGGGCUCUUCUUCAAGUCAGCUCCACCUUGGUCUCCAUCUCCCGCAGCUCCAUCUCCAUUAGUUGUCCCCAGGGGGUUGUCAGCCAAGUCAACACCAUGGCUCCUCCCUCCAUUAACUCCGCCAUGGGGCUUAAUCCUGGGUGGACUCUGUGUGACCAUCUGGCUCCUCCUGCUCCUGGCUCCUCCUUGUCUCAUCCACUCCCCCAAGGAUUGUUUGGUUCACCCCGAACUUUCUUUCUCUCUCUUAUAGUUCACGCCCUCCUUCAGAGACCCUGCCAUCCCUCUUCAGUUGGAACUUAUACUGCGUGAGGACGCGCCUUUCUGGGAGAGGGCGUAAUGUAACAUCUUCUCUGCUUGGAGCAGGGAGACCAUCCAAUAGAAGAACAUACCCAAGACUUCAUGGAACUAGCGUGCCUAAUUCACUAACCGGACCGCUCACUGUCUCGCUGAGCGUUUUAAGGCCUGACACGGCCUGUCGACCUAUCGGCUCCAUAUUGGCUCCUCCCUCCCUCGGCUCCAUGAGAAACCAUUGUCUUGAAGGCUCCACCAGGCUCUCUCAUCCCACCGGCUCCUCCUUGGUCAGACGUAGUCCUGUCUGUACCUUUGGCUUCGUCUGGCUCCACCUUCAUCCUCAGUCCCACUGCCUCCACCUCAGUCCUCAGGCUCACUGAUUCCACCUCAGACGCUCAUCACCAUGGCUCCACCUUCGUCUCCAGUGCCAGCAAUGUUGCGUGGGCUCUUCUUCAAGUCAGCUCCACCUGGGUCUCCAUUUGCAGCGGCUCCAUCUCCAUCAGUCGUCCCCAGGGUGUUGUCAGCCAAGUCAACACCAUGGCUCCUCCUCCCUCCCCAGUCCUGGCUGGACUCUGGGUGACCAUCUGGCUCCUCCUGCUCCUGGCUCCUCCACUCCCCCAUGGACUGUUUGGUUUGCCCCGAACUUUCUUUUUCUCUCUCCUGUUUCACGUCCCCCUCCAGAGCCCCCCGCCCUCCCUCUUCAGUUGGAACUUAUACGGCGCGAGGGUGCGUCUUCCUGGGAGGGGGUGUAAUGUAAUGCCUCAGUUCUUCAGCACAUUCAGAACAGUUCAAGCUUCCAGCUGGCAGCCUAUUCCUGCCACAAAUCCGUCCGAGAGCUCCCAGAUGAAGCCAUGUGCCUCCAAGCAUCUGUAACAUGGCCGAGCCGUGGGGAAAAGGUCCCGCUCCGCUGCCACCGGCUGCUGCACCUGCAGGAUUCUCUCCGGGCCUCCAGUCUAUGAGGAUAUUCAAGGAACCGGCCUCCAUGCGGAGGAUUAUGUUUCUGAGACCCGAAGCCCCCCACUGAACAUGACCUGGAGUUACAUCAUAAUUGUUUCUCUGUAAUGAGUCAGCAGAGCGAAUGCUUGUUUUCCCGCUGCUCGGCGACCCUGAACAUUUCCGAGAUGGUGGAUGCACUUAUGAAAUAGAUAUUUUACAGGUCUGGUUAAUUUCAUAGCUGUUCCUUUCUUAAUGUGAUUUUCCCGCAAAGAUUGUUUAGGCAGACUUUUUAGGGAAAGAGAGUGGAAAAGAAAUGCAUACCGAGUCCAAAGUGAGCCACUGGCUCCAUCUCGCACAAGUACCCCGAUCCUCCGUCUAUAAUACGUGUGUGAGGGCCGUUUCUCUUAGUGUAGACGAUCACCUUUGCCCCACGAGCAAAAGCCCCAAACUGUGUGCGUGGAAUC